CUAACGCGCGCGCGAGUCAGAGGGCUCGCAGCCAGACCCCGCGGCGCAAUGAAGGUGAGGGCCGGGGCGCCCCGUCCGGGAGGUGGAGCGCGAGCGCGCGAUAGGACCCGAAAGAUGGUGAACUAUGCCUGGGCAGGGCGAAGCCAGAGGAAACUCUGGUGGAGGUCCGCAGCGGUCCUGACGUGCAAAUCGGUCGUCCGACCUGGGUAUAGGGGCGAAAGACUAAUCGAACCGUCUAGUAGCUGG